rnacentral:rRNA from 1 species
CUAGCAUAUCAAUAAGCGGAGGAAAAGAAACCAACAGGGAUUGCCCUAGUAACGGCGAGUGAAGCGGCAACAGCUUCAAAUUUUGAAAUCUGGCGUCUUUGGCGUCCGAGUUGUAAUUUGCAGAGGGCGCUUUGGCAUUGGCAGCGGUCCAAGUUCCUUGGAACAGGACGUCACAGAGGGUGAGAAUCCCGUACGUGGUCGCUAGCCUUUACCGUGUAAAGCCCCUUCGACGAGUCGAGUUGUUUGGGAAUGCAGCUCUAAAUGGGAGGUAAAUUUCUUCUAAAGCUAAAUACUGGCCAGAGACCGAUAGCGCACAAGUAGAGUGAUCGAAAGAUGAAAAGCACUUUGGAAAGAGAGUUAAAAAGCACGUGAAAUUGUUGAAAGGGAAGCGCUUGCAGCCAGACUUGCCUGUAGUUGCUCAUCCGGGUUUUUACCCGGUGCACUCUUCUAUAGGCAGGCCAGCAUCAGUUUGGGCGGUUGGAUAAAGGUCUCUGUCAUGUACCUCUCUUCGGGGAGAACUUAUAGGGGAGACGACAUGCAACCAGCCUGGACUGAGGUCCGCGCAUCUGCUAGGAUGCUGGCGUAAUGGCUGUAAGCGGCCCGUCUUGAAACACGGACCAAGGAGUCUAACAUCUAUGCGAGUGUUUGGGUGUCAAGCCCGAACGCGUAAUGAAAGUGAACGGAGGUGGGAACCUUUCGGGGUGCACCAUCGACCGAUCCUGAUGUCUUCGGAUGGAUUUGAGUAAGAGCAUAGCUGUUGGGACCCGAAAGAUGGUGAACUAUGCUUGAAUAGGGUGAAGCCAGAGGAAACUCUGGUGGAGGCUCGCAGCGGUUUCUGACGUGCAAAUCGAUUCGUCAAAUUUGGGCAUAGGGGGCGAAAGACUAAUCGAACUAUCUAGGUAGAUAGUUCCUGCCGA